rnacentral:rRNA from 1 species
GUCAAAUCAUCAUGCCCCUUAUGAUUUGGGCUACACACGUGCUACAAUGGACAAUACAAAGGGUAGCGAAACCGCGAGGUCAAGCAAAUCCCAUAAAGUUGUUCUCAGUUCGGAUUGUAGUCUGCAACUCGACUACAUGAAGCUGGAAUCGCUAGUAAUCGUAGAUCAGCAUGCUACGGUGAAUACGUUCCCGGGUCUUGUACACACCGCCCGUCACACCACGAGAGUUUGUAACACCCGAAGCCG